CGGAAAUGGAAGUUAUGUAAGAAUAUUCUCACAUAUCUAUUGAUCUCUAGCAGAAACUGAUAUUUCCCCCUAUAAGUAGCACUUCUAAAACUAUAUAACUCCCCUUUGGUAACUAAAGUUAUUUUGUAUUUACCCAUUGUGUUACUCGUGUGUCACUAACCUAUUAGCCAUCAUGCCCAUGACCAGAAGCAUCGCCCCAAUCAGAAGACCCAGAAAAGCAAAUGCCAGCAUGCCAAACUUCCACGAUGUUGCUGUGAAACAAAAGAACGGCAUUGAACCAUUUGCGGCCCUUCAGGAAAGUCAAACUCAUCGGUCUCUAAAUCACUUUCUCUUCUGGAUCCUGAGAGAAUCAAUGAAGAUGAGAUAUAUAUUACAGCAUAAUACCAUGAAGAGAUGAAGUGAAGAAGGUCAGUGGAGUGGAUUUCAGGGUGGAAUAUACUUACUAUAUUGUACUCACUAGAUUAUUAGUGACAAUUAUUAAAUUACUGUUUAAAAAUGUAGGGUCAGUGUUAUUUAUAAAUUAAUACAAUAUACAAUAUAUUGAUCAAAAAUACAUAAAUAAUGUUACAAUUUCUAUACUAUUCAGAAUUAAUACAUAACUCAAAAUAUUAGUAACUCAAAUGAUUCGUUGUUUUGGCCUCUGCUUACUCCGUUUAUUCUGGCAGAUGUCACCCGCAUCCAGAGACUUCCAGGUGUCAUGUUCACCCUUGUUCAGUCUGAGUUUUCCUCUCUCAGUGCUCAAUGCCAGAGAGUUUUGCUGACUGAUGAGCUGUUGAGCUUUGCACUGCCAUUUGAUAUGUUCACCAGAAUCACAAGCGAUAGUCUGGACUGGGUCAGUGUGGAUGGCAGAAAGACACCUCAGGGUGCCUGUGUUUACUAGGAACCAGUGAUCUGUCCACUUCCACUGCUGCAGGACCGAGUCCAGACUGCAUGUCCUUAACUCAACAACUCCUUCAGAUGAGUCCUCCAGACACAGACCUUCCUUCAUGCUGUGGAUCAUAAAGCCGAUUGUGCCUUGGGGGGAAAAAAAACUUUUAGCAUAUUACAGCUAUCUUUGUUCAUUUUGUAUAUUUUAUCUUUAUAAUAAUAUGAUUAAUUAAAGCCAGAUGAUAUCUGUUGAAAACUGUGAUUACAUCCCACAAAGAAUAUUAAUGCACAAGAAGUUAAAAAGGUAUAUAUUUUCACCUUAUUCACUCCUAAAUGGUUCAUAUUAGUACUUUAAAAGUACAUAGUAGUACCUAAAGUGUACCUUUUAGUAACUUUUGAAAGGGUGCUUUUCCAGUGAUAAAAUGAUUCUGUUUUUCUGAGAGUGUACUUAUAUAAUGCUUUUGGGAAGCAUAGCCGUGGACAUGUUCUUGCCAGGUUUUAUUCUUCUAUCAUUA
ensembl:lncRNA